rnacentral:rRNA from 1 species
UACGGAGGAGGCAAGCGUUAUCCGGAAUUAUUGGGCGUAAAGCGUCCGUAGGUGGUUUAUCAAGUCUGUUGUUAAAGAGUGGGGCUUAACCUCAUAAAGGCAAUGGAAACUGGUUGGCUAGAGUUAGGUAGGGGUAAGAGGAAUUCCCAGUGUAGCGGUGAAAUGCGUAGAUAUUGGGAAGAACAUCGGUGGCGAAAGCGCGCUACUGGGCCGGAACUGACACUCAGGGACGAAAGCUAGGGGAGCGAAAGGG